rnacentral:misc_RNA from 1 species
GAUGAAGAACGUAGCGAAAUGCGAUAAGUAAUGUGAAUUGCAGAAUUCAGUGAAUCAUCGAAUCUUUGAACGCACCUUGCGCUUCUUGGUAUUCCAAGGAGCAUGCCUGUUUGAGUAUCAUUAAAUUAUCAACUGUGCCAAUUUGGUUACAGAUUGGAUGUGGGAGAUUCUUUUUGCAGGCCUUUGACUUCUCUUUGAGAAAAAAAAUAAAAGGUCGGCUCUCCUGAAAUGUAUUAGCAGUGCCUUUGUUGGUUCAUUAGGUGUGAUAAAUUGUCUACAUCUUCGCAUGAUACCUUCAUUUGUAAAGGUCAUAUUGCUUGUAAAUUGUCUUUGAUUGGACGCAAAACAUAUAUAAUGUUUGACAAACUUGAUCUCAAAUCAGGCAGGACUACCCGCUGAACUUAAGCAUAUCAAUAAGCGGAGGA